rfam:Myotis brandtii contig321366, whole genome shotgun sequence.
AGAGGCCCUCCAUGGCUGGGGUGGAACGCUUGCCUCGUCGCCGCGGCGACAAAGCAAGCAUUCCACCAGGCUACUCAUACUGCCCUC